GACAGAGGGUGCAAACGUUGUUCGGAAUUACUGGGCGUAAAGCGCGUGUAGGCGGUUGGGUAAGUCGGAUGUGAAAGCCCCGGGCUCAACCCGGGAAGUGCAUUCGAUACUACUUGGCUAGAGUACUGGAGAGGAUGGUGGAACUCUCGGUGUAGAGGUGAAAUUCGUAGAUAUCGAGAAGAACACCGGCGGCGAAGGCGGCCAUCUGGACAGAUACUGACGCUGAGACGCGAAAGCGUGGGGAGCAAAC
rnacentral:rRNA from 1 species